rnacentral:rRNA from 1 species
UACGGGGGGUGCGAGCGUUGUCCGGAAUUACUGGGCGUAAAGGGCUCGUAGGUGGCCAACUAAGUCAGACGUGAAAUCCCUCAGCUUAACUGGGGAACUGCGUCUGAUACUGGAUGGCUUGAGAUUGGGAGAGGGAUGCGGAAUUCCAGGUGUAGCGGUGAAAUGCGUAGAUAUCUGGAGGAACACCGGUGGCGAAGGCGGCAUCCUGGACCAACACUGACACUGAGGAGCGAAAGCCAGGGGAGCAAACGGG